AGGGGAGCUAAUACCGGAUAACAAUGUUUAACAUAAGUUGAAUAUUUGAAAGCUCCGGCGCUGAUUGAUGAGUCUGCGUCCCAUUAGCUUGUUGGUGUGGUAGCGGCACACCAAGGCCACGAUGGGUAGCGGGUUUGAGAGGACGAUCCGCCACACUGGAACUGAGACACGGUCCAGACUCCUACGGGAGGCAGCAGUGGGGAAUAUUGCACAAUGGAGGAAACUCUGAUGCAGCAAUGCCGCGUGAGUGAAGAAGGCCCUUGGGUCGUAAAGCUCUUUUAUGGGGGAAGAUGAUGACGGUACCCCAGGAAUAAGCACCGGCUAACUACGUGCCAGCAGCCGCGGUAAUACGUAGGGUGCGAGCGUUGUUCGGAAUUACUGGGCGUAAAGGGCGCGCAGGCGGAGGUGCAAGUCGGAGGUGAAAGCCCGGGGCUCAACCCCGGAGGGUCUUUCGAAACUGCAUUUCUAGAGAGGGUCAGGGGCCGGCAGAAUUCCUGGUGUAGAGGUGAAAUUCGUAGAUAUCAGGAGGAAUACCGGUGGCGAAAGCGGCCGGCUGGGGCCACUCUGACGCUGAGGCGCGAAAGCGUGGGGAGCAAACAGGAUUAGAUACCCUGGUAGUC
rnacentral:rRNA from 1 species